UGAAGGGUUCUGUUUUUGCAUUGACAUUCAAAAGAAAAACUGGUCUGAAGUUCUCUCUUUUUCUUGGGCAUUUAUGUGGUUUAGUUAUCAGAGUAACUAUGACAUCAUAGAAUGAAUUAAGUAGUGUUCCUUCUGUUUCUACUUUGUGGAAUAGUGUGAGGAGUAUUUAUAUAUGUGGUGGUAUGAAUAUAUUUGGCCUGGGAACUGGCAUUAUUAGGAGGUAUGACUUUGCUGGAGUAGGUGUGGCCUUGGUGGAGGAAGUGUGUCACAAUGGGGAUGGAUUCUAAGACCUGCCUAGUUUUCUGGAAGAAGUCUUCUCCUAGCAGCCUUCAGAUCAAGGGUUUCCAGCAGAAACUGUGGCCCAUUCAAUGGUGUGUCUUGCUGACUCAAGAUCGAGAUUAAAGAUAAUAACAAGAAGAUGGAGACAUUUUCAAUUGUAGCUUUGUACAUUGAGCAAAUAAACUCAGUCCUCUUUUGAUAUGUAUCUUUAUCUUACAUAAAAAAUAAAUACCUAGUUUUGCAAAG